rnacentral:lncRNA from 10 species
CAACUCUGAGAAACUGGCAGAUGGGCAGCUCCGGCCAUGGCCGGAAGAUCCUUUGGAGUCGGUUCCAAUGGAUGCCGUGUGCAAGGACAUCCCAUGCCCUGCCAGGAGCUGUUUGAAAGUUCCAACCAAGCUUGGAUCAUGGGAAGCAAGCUCUACUUGGAAAUGGUUCUGGAGCCUGAGAAGUCCAAGACCAAGGUGUUAGCAUCUGAUGAGGACCUACUUGCCAUGUCAUAACAUGGUGAAGAGCAAAGGGAGUGGAAGGCGGGGACUGAAGCUGCCCUUUUAUAAUGAACCAACUCCAGCAAUGACAGCAUUAAUCAAUUCAUGAGGUUGGAGCCCUCAUAGCCUGAUCACCUCUUAAGUUCCCACCUCUUAAUAUUGUUAUGAUUAAGUUUCAACACAAGUUUGAGAGAAGAAAAAUGUUUAAACCAUAACAGGCAGUGUGUCUGACAGUGUUGGAUUCCUUUUUGCCAUGAAUUUCCCCUGGAUAAGCCCACUCUAAUUCCAACUUCUGCCAGGUGACACUAGCCCCAAGACACCAGUAACACCACCCCUCCUUGCAUUCUUCUAGCCCUAAGGGAUGUAGGAGCUUCAUGCUCUUGCCAAUCCCUGGAGUGUCUCCUUCUUAGAUCGGGCUACCCUCAAAGCAGAUCCUGAAACAGACAAGGGUGCAUUGAAUUUAUUUGGAAGGUAAUCCUGGGAGGCACAAAUAAAGGGGAGGGGAAGUGAGAUAGGGAAAGGAUAACAGCUGAUAAAGGAUGCGUUAAGGAUGGGUUACUACUGUGGGCAACUGGGACUAAAUCCCACAGGGGCCCUUCUAAGAAUCAUUGUGAAACACAUCCCAGAAUCAACCCCCUGGAGGAAGAGGAAGCUGCAUUGUUUGUCUACUAAAUUCCAUUCGCCUGACUGAGGAUGGUCCCUGGGGUGUUAACUCCUUCACACCCCCAGACUGGCCAGUAAGUACAUGAAAAAAUGCUCAACAGCAUUGGUCAUAUUCAUAACAAACCACAAUGAGAUAACACUUCAUACCUUUAAAAUGGCUAAAAUUAAAAGGACUGAUAAUACCAAGUGUUGACAAAGAUGGGGGACAAGUGAAACUCACACAUCCUUGGUGGCAAUGUAAUAUGUGGCAAUCAUUUUGGGAAAAUAUCUAGCUGUUUCUUAUAAAACAAAUAAGCACUGACUCUAAGAUGCAACUAUCUCCCUCCUGAGUGUUUACCCAAGACAAAUAAAAACACAUAUUACCACGAAUACUUGUACACAAAUGUUCAUAACAGCUUUACUCAUCAUAGACAAAGAAAAGUUAACUUGAACAAGACAAGGAUACCCACUCUCACCACUCCUAUUCAACAAAGUACUGGAAGUCCUUGACCAAGCAAUCAGGCAAGAGAAAGAAAUGAAAGGCAUCCAAAUAGGAAAAGAAGUCAAACUAUCUCUCUUUGUGGAUAACAUGACUCUAUACAUAGAAAAGCCCAAAGAAUCUGCCAAAAGGCUCCUAGAACUGAUAAGCAACUUCAGCAAAAUUUCAGGAUGCAAAAUCAAUUUACAAAAAUAAGUAGCAUUUCUAUACAUCUAUAACCUUCAAGCUGAGAGCCAAAUCAAGAAUGCAAUGCCAUUUACAAUAGACACACAAAAAAAAUAUCUAGGAGUAUACCUAACCAAGGAGGUGAAAGAUCUCUACAAGGAAAACUACAAAACACUGCUGAAAGAAAUCAGAGAUGAUACAAACAAAUGGAAAAUCAUUCCAUACUCAUGGAUUAGAAUAAUCAAUAUAGUUAAAAUGGCCAUACUGCCCAAAGCAACCUAAAAAUUCAAUGCUAUUCCUAUCAAGUUACCAAUGUUAUUUUUUACAGAACUAGAAAAAAAAGCUAUUCUAAAGUUCAUAUGGAACUGAAUAAAAAGAACCCAAAUAGCCAAAGCAAUCCUAAACAAAAAGAACAAAGCUGGAGGCAUCACAUUACUCAACUUCAAAUUAUACUGUAAGUUAUACAGUAACCAAAACCACAAGGUAUUGGUACAAAAACAGACAGAUAGACCGAAGGAACUGAAUAGAGAACCCAGAAACAAAGCCACACAUCUGUAGUCAUCUAAUCUUCUAUAAAUCAACAAAAAUAACAAUGGGGAAAAUGGUGCUGGGACAGCUGGCUUGACAUACACAGGAGAAUAAAACUGGACCCCUAUCUUUCACCCUGUAGAAAAAUUAACUCAAGAUGGAUUAAAGAUUUAAAUGUCACCUUCAAACUACAAGAACCCUAAAAGAAAACCAAGAAAGCAUGCUUUUGGACAUUAACCUUGGCAAAGAAUUUAUGACUAAGAUCUCAAAAGCAAUUCCAACAAAAACAAAAAAUGAUAAGUGGGAUAGUUUAAUUAAACUAAAAAGCUUCUGCACAGAAAAAGAAACUAAAACCUACAGAAUGGGAGAAAAUAUUUACAAACUAUGCAUCCAACAAAGGCCUGGUAUCCAGAAUCUAUAAGAAACUUAAACAAAUCAACAAGCAAAAAACAAAGAACCCCAUUUUUAAAAUGGGCAAAAGACAUGAACAGACACUUCUCAAAAGAAGAUAUGCAAGUGGCCAACAAGCAUAUGAAAAAAAUGCCCAACAUCACUAAUCAUCAGAGAAAUACAAAUCAAGACCACAAUGAGAUACCUUCUCACACCAGCCAGAAUGGCUGUUAUUAAAAAAUCAAGAAACAACAGGUGCUGGCAAGACUACAGAGAAAAGAGAAUGCUUACACACUGUUGGUGGGAAUGUAAAUUAGUUCAGCCACUGUGGAAAGCAGUUUGGAGAUUUCUCAAAGAGCUUAGAACUACCAUUCGACCCAACAAUCCUAUUACUGGGUAUAUACCCAGAGGAAAAUAAAUCAUUCUACCAAGAAGACACAUGCAUGCCUAUGUUUAUUGCAGCACUAUCCACAACAGGAAAGACAUGGAAUUAACCUAGGUGCCCAAACACAGUGGGUUGAAUAAGGAAAAUGUGGUGCAUAUACUCUAUGGAAUACUACACAGCCAUUAAAGAGAACAAAAUCAUGUUCUUUGCAGCAACAUGGAUGCAGCUGGAGGCCACUAUAUUAAGCAAAUUAAUGAAGGAACAGAAAACCACAUUAUCACUCAAGUAGGAGCUAAACGAUGGGUACUCAUGGGUGUAAAGAUGACAACAAUAGACACUGGGGACUACCAGUGGUGGGAGUGAGGGAAGGGAGCAAGGGAUGAGAAACAAACUAUUGGGUACUAUGCUUAGUAUCUGGGUGACAGGAUCGACUGUAUCCAAACCUCAGCAUCACACAAUAUACCUAGGUAAUAAACCUGCACAUGAACUCCCUAAAUCUAAAAUAAAAGUGGAAACUUU